rnacentral:misc_RNA from 1 species
GAGUAGAAGAUGAGGAUAGUUUAAUUAAAACCAAAAGAUCAAAUGUCAGUCCCCUGUAGCUCCACCUCCAGCAUCAAAGUAGGAAUGCCCUCCCAUGCUGCUGCUGACACUAUCCAUAAGAGCAAAUCUCAUAUCUUCAGAUGGCUUCCAAUGCCGCUUCCGCUGGUUGAUGAACCAGUUGUUUAUCUGUUUUUGAUCUAGUCCAGUAAUCUUUGAUAACUUCGCUUUCUCCUCUUCCGUAGGAUAUGGCCAUUUGUAAUGAUUACUCCACCAGUCCAAAAGAAUCAUCCUUGCAUCCUCCGGUAGUUUGCCUUUCUUUCUUUUCUUUAAGAACUCCUUUCUCAAAUUGCUAAGAUAGCCACUGUACUUGCGCAAGAGCAUUCCUUUAAGGUCCUGAUCAUGAGAACGGCCACCAGAAGAUUCUUGGCUUUCUGAUGCCUCAACCUCACCACAGCUCAACUCCUCCUCUGAAGUUCCUGCUGCUUCAUCAGAGCCAUAAUCAAAGGUUUUUGUCAGUGUUCCUUUACAAAGAUUACUCAGUUGUGAUUCUAUGUUGCUCAAGAAUGUAGUCGCCUCAUCGAACGGCCUUGAUAGCUCCUCCUUGUAUCUAUGGAGUAUCUCACAAUAUGAUUCCAUGAACUCGUCGAGCUCUGGAUCAGCUCCUAUUUCGCUGCUGCAACUCUUGAUUGAAUAGUUCUCUCUGCCUAUUUGUUCAAGAAGAGACGCCAUUUCUGGUGGUGCACCAACCUUUCGGCAUUCUAUGUAGGCAGACACUAGGUCUGGAUAACGAGGGUGAUUGGAGAUCUGGGUCUUGUUUAGAUCAACCAUAUGUGAUUCAAAAACUUCAGCAUGAUUACCCGCUUGAAAUUGAAGUAAAUUACCAACUGAAGUGUAGAAUUCAUGAUUAGCAGUGGUAGUAGUCGUAGAAGCAGUGAAGUUUGAAGGGAAAUUUUCAACUGUAACAAUAUCAUCUGAACACCCUAUAGUAGGAUUAAGCCUAUACAAAUCCUCCAUGGGUGUUGACACAUGCAGAAGACGGUGCUAAUAAGUAUCAAUCUUGAAUUGAAACAGCAAAAGCUUGACUGAUCUUGAAACGACCAGAACUUUUUCAAGAGAACUUUAACCUGGUGA